rnacentral:tRNA from 1 species
GGGUGAGUGGCGGAAUUGGCAGACGCGCUAGAUUUAGGAUCUAGUUCCCGGAAGGGAGUGGGGGUUCAACUCCCCCCUCGCCCA